AAAUAUUAAAAGCGCUCCACGGAAAACACAAUGCGCAAUAAAGUACGAAUACUUUUCAAAUUUCGACGACACUAUACUACGAUUGCUUUGUGUUUGUUUGUUUUAUUUUUUUUUCAUUAAUCCAACCACAGACCAAUAAUAAUCAUGUAUCGAGUUUGGGGUUGGAUGUCGGGACACCGAGAAAUCUUCCAGUAAGCCAUCUAAAAUAUGAACUUAUUACAUUGGCAUGCGCACGGGGUAUGCAGGGUAUGAGCUUGCAUAAAACACCAUAAUUUCAAUAAGUAUCCCAAAUGCUUUGGGAGAGAUAGCAUUAAAAAAGACUGCGACCACGUCAUACUUACACGAUUUAGACGUGUUCCAUCCAUUAUGUAUUGUCUU